rnacentral:rRNA from 1 species
AUUGAACGCUGGCGGCAGGCCUAACACAUGCAAGUCGAACGAGUGGCGGACGGGUGAGGAAAGUCUGGGAAACUGCACGAUGGAGGGGGAUAACUACUGGAAACGGUAGCUAAUACCGCAUACCAUCGGAGGUGCCCAGAUGGGAUUAGAUGGUAGGUUAGGUAACGUCUCACCUAGGCGACGAUCCCAAGCUGGUCUGAGAGGAUGACCAGCCACACUGGAACUGAGACACGGUCCAGACUCCUACGGGAGGCAGCAGGGGGGAAUAUUGCACCAUGGGCGCAAGCCUGAUGCAGCCAUGCCGCGUGUAUGAAGAAGGCCUUCGGGUUGUAAAGUACUUUCAGCGGGGAGGCGUUACCCGCAGAAGAAGCACCGGCUAACUCCGUGCCAGCAGCCGCGGUAAUAC